GGGUGGCUAGCAUAAUUGGACUAAUGCCCCCGUGUUGUGAUCGCGGACGAUGUCGGUUCGAGCCCGACACCACCCU
rnacentral:tRNA from 1 species